GAGGAGCAAGACAUGAGGUUAAUAAUUAUCAAAUAUAUGGCAAUGCUGGACUUUAGCUGAUCAUCGUGCUUCUGGAAAACAACAAAAAUUGAGAUAUCUGUUCACCACUUUGUGUGUCCAAGGACCACCUACUUUUUACAUGUGACAAGAACUACCCACCUCCACUCUUCAGGAUAGAACAUGCUGAAGAAAAGAGUUGCAAUGAGAAAAUAUAUGGGAACAAAAUACCUAUGCAAUGCAGAAGUCUGCAUAACUGAACCACUCAGAGGAAAAAGUUUCCCUCCCAGGCUGGAGUACAAUGGCGCGACCUCGGCUCACUGCAACUUCCACCUCCCAGUUCAAGCAAUUCUCCCACCUCAGCUUCCUUAGUAGCUGGGAUUACAAGUGCCUGACACCAGGCCAAGCUAUUUUUGUAUUUUUAGUAGAGACGGGGUUUCACCAUUUUGACCAGGCUGGUCUCAAACUCCUGACCUCAGUCCAUCGGUCCACCUCGGCCUCCCAAAGUGCUGGGAUUGCAGGCAUGAGCCACCGCUCCUGGCCUCAAGUUUAAUUCUUAAGUGAGUCAAUCAGUUAUAGUUCUGUUCAAAGCUUUCAGUGCACCUAAAAUUUCAUCCAACAUCUAUUAUCUUUCAUCAUAUGCUAAAACAGCUUGAAGAUGUAUAUGAUUUUAUAAAAAAUAAUCUAUAAAACAAAACAACCAAAUUAAGGGUUUACAUUUUAAAGCACCAAUAUUCACCUAUAGUUGGUGAAUGUACAGUUAGAAUGAAAAAAAAUAGAAUUUUGGUGAAUUCUGAAAUGGUUCCACCCUAUCCAAACAAGUUGUAUUAAUGCAUGUAUACAUUUCUUAAUAGAUAAAGUACUCGAAUUGCUACAAAUACAGAAGCUUACAAGUUUCC
rnacentral:lncRNA from 1 species